GCCAGAUAAGGGAAGCAGGCCUCCGAAGCCAGCAGUGGCAACCCACUUGGGUCCCUUUCAAUGCUGUGGAAGCGUUGUUCUUUCACUCUUCUCAAUAAAUCUUGCUGCUGCUCACUCUUUGGGUCUGCCCCGCUGUUAUGAGCUGUAACACUCACAGCCAGUGUCUGCAGUUUCACUCCUGAAGCCAGCAAGACCACAAACCCACAGGGCGGGACAAACAACUCCGGACAGGAGGAAUGAACAACUCUGGACGCGCCACUUCUAUGAACUUUUAUGAACUGUAACACUCACCGCAAAGGUCUGCAGCUUCACCCCUGAGGCCAGGGAGACCACGAACCCACCGGAAGGAAUGAACAACUCCAGACGCACUGCCUUUAAGAGCUGUAACACUUACCACGGAUGUCUGCAGCUUCACUCCUGAAGUCAGCGAGACCACAAACCCAACAGAAGGAAGAAACUCCCGACACAUCUGAACAUCUGAAGGAACAAACUCUGGACACACCAUCUUUAAGAACUGUAACACUCACCGUGAGGGUCAACCGCUUCAUUCUUGAAGUCAGCCAGACCAAGAACCCACCAAUUCCGAUGAAUGCCAGAUGCCUCUAGUGAGCCACCUUGAAUCACUAUUCUGAAUACAUCUUGAGUAAAAAGAGAAAAUUGCUCAUGUUUCCAUGUCUAUCUGAAUCAUGUUAUUGGACCAUGAGAGCAAGCAGCUGGAUCUCAUUCUGUCCAGGUACAAAUAUACUAAAUUAACAUAAGUAGCAUAUCAUAUGUGUCAUAUGUGUGCUGAAUAUGUUAUAUUUAAUAACUAAAAAACCUUAAAACCUUACUUUUUUGGUACUUUUAAAUACCAAGAAUUAAUUAAUUAAUUAAUUAAUUUAGCUUGUGUCCAUUUCCUCUUACAAGUAUAUAGGAAACUUUUUACUCUCUGAAUCUUUAUAAAAUUGCAAGUCUUGGUGAACAGUAAUUGUCUUCUUGGAUAAUAUUUAUGCAAAGAGUGUUUGGAGACAUCUAUAUUCUGGAUAAAACUAAUUAUUUAAUACAGUACUUUUUUUAAAGGACAUGCUAUUUUAACUUCACUUCAGCAAAGUUUAUCUGUAGGCACUUAUAUAUGCACUUAAAACAAAAUUUAAAUAAAUGAGCAUGAUUUUUUUCCUUACUUUAAGUGGACUGGCAUCUUUCCCAUAUGUUUUGCAUGUAACAACAUUCCCAAAAAGUUAAGUGCAUCUAGGAUACACCUUAUUUAAUAACCUUAGCACCAGCUGCUCAUAUUCACUGCCAGAAAUCAUGCUUUUUUGUACACAGCCUAAAGGCAAAAAAAAAUAAAAAGUGAUUUAGAAGCUGCUACUAGGCUGAAAGGUAAAUCAGUGUUCCACAUAAUUCAAAACUUACUUUUUAUAAAAAAGCAAAUAAAAGCACAAAAGUAAUUUUAGCUGAAUAUUUAAAAAGUAAUUCUAUAUGGUAUGACACUUACUACAACAGAAACUUUUGCUUACUUUCAUAGGACUCCUGGAAACAGCAGCUCUAACAAAAUUGUCUUCAAUAAAUAAGUUUUUUUGCAUCACAUUUGUGUAUGUCCUGAAUGUUCUGAGCCCUUCAGAUUUGACUCAUAUUCAUGCUAAAAGAAAAAAUGCAAAUGAAAAUUGUAUAGCUAAUUAUGAGAAAAAUAAAGCAUCAUAAGAAAACCA
rnacentral:lncRNA from 1 species